GUUCUCACUUCGGCAGCACAUAUACUAAAAUUGGAGUGAUACAGAGAGGAUUAGCAUAACCCCUGUACAAGGAUGACAUGCAAACUCGUGAAGCAUUCCAUAUUUUU
ensembl:snRNA U6 U6 spliceosomal RNA